ensembl:lncRNA
AGCCGCGCCUGAGAAGCGCAUCUCACUCAGGCAGUCUGCCUGUAUAUAAUUAAUUAAUAUAUAUAAUUUUUUUUACCCUGAAUCCAGGUAUUCCAGGACAGCCAGGGCCACCGGGACCACGUGGAGAACAAGAUCCUGAGGGUCCACCAGGACCACAGGGACCUUCAGGACUAAUGGGUCCCAUGGGGCCAGAAGGUCCAAAAGAUUCUGGUUUCAGAGGUCUGCCGGGACCUCAAGGAGCACAGGGAAGAGCCGGAGGACUAGUGUCUUAUGCUCUUAACGAAAACCAACAGCAAUUCCGUGCAGAGCCUCAGGAGUAUAUCAAAAGUCACCCAAGCGCUGAUGAGAAUUUGGAUUACGCAGAUAUCGCGACGAAGGUUUUAGAUUACAUUAAGUCUCAAGGCCUGUUACGAGGCCAAGGUGGUUUUAUAGGAAUUCCAGGUCCACGAGGUCUACAAGGAUUCCCUGGACCCUCUGGACCCUCUGGACCAUCUGGACCCCGUGGAGCCCGUGGACUGCCUGGAAGUGAUGGAUUACCUGGACUCCCUGGAACUCCAGGAAUCAGUGUAGACUUUUCUCCCUCCAAUAUGACAGCGAUCAUGGACUACAUCAGAGAAAACCAUAUGAUUGGACAACCAGGUAUACCGGGACAGAAAGGGGAGAAUGGAUAUCAGGGACUUCCUGGACCAACAGGAGCGAAAGGUGACAGAGGAUCCAUAGGUCCACCAGGCUUCACAGGCCAACCAGGAAUGAAAGGACAAAAGGGAGAGAAGGGUAUGUAUUUGUUUACAAAAUACAUGAAUGAUCAUAACCUUUUUUUUUUUUCAUGA